rnacentral:rRNA from 1 species
GACGAACGCUGGCGGCGUGCCUAAUACAUGCAAGUCGAAAGCAGUGGGGACGGGUGAGUAACACGUGGGUAACCUCCCAUCAGAGGGGAGAACACUUGGAAACAGGUGCUAAACCGAUACUGAUGGAUGGACACGCGGUGAAUUAGCUAGUUGGUGAGGGAACGGAUCACAAAGGCAACGAUGCAUAGGAGACCUGAGAGUGUGAGCGGCCACACUGGGACUGAGAAACGGCCCAGACGCCUACGGGAGGCAGCAGUAGUGAAUCUUCGGCAAUGGACGAAAGUCUGACCGAGCAACGCAGCGUGAGUGAAGAAGGUUUUCGGAUCGUAAAACUCUUUUGUUAGAGAAGCGGUAUCUAACCAGAAAGCCACGACUAACUACGUGCCAGCAGCCGCGGUAAUUC